AACGCACAUUGCGCCCCUUGGUAUUCCGAGGGGCAUGCCCGUUCGAGCGUCAUUAUAACCCCUCAAGCCUAGCUUGGUGUUGGGGCCUGCUGUUACCGGCAGCCCUUAAAAUCAGUGGCGGUGCCAUCUGGCUCUAAGCGUAGUAAUACUUUCUCGCUACAGGGUCCUGGUGGAUGCUUGCCAUCAACCCCUAAUUUUCUAUGGUUGACCUCGGAUCGGGUAGGGAUACCCGCUGAACUUAA
rnacentral:misc_RNA from 1 species